rnacentral:lncRNA from 1 species
UAGUGAGAGAAACCCCGCUCGACCUUGAUAUACCCAUGGUACAGAGAAUGCGGUAACACUCAUCUAGAAAUCCCAGAGUAUCAUACGAUGCUAGACCACUGAAUACAGGAGGCUUGUACUUCUUAAACCUCUCAAGCCUCAGCUGCUCAUCCUCGGAAACCGUUGCCCUGUCCUCGGGCUGAUCUCGGACUGCAGGCGGUACAGAAAUAUUCUUGGGGACUUGCUCAACAUGUACUCGCUACUCAAGAGUGCAGGCGGCGGGAGUCUGUGCUCCUCCCCCGGCCUAAGAUGUAGUUGCAGCAAGGGGAAGCAACCCUACCUGAGCCAAAGUGGUGUACAUGCUCAUGAACUGUGCCAGAGUCUCCUGAAGUGCUGGAGUAGUAGUAGCAGUAGGCGUAUCUGGUGUCGGGACUCUAGUUAGAACUGCUGGUUCUACCUCGGUGGCAGCUCGUAUAGGUACUCUGGAUGCACCACGUGUGCGUGCUCGACCUAUACCUCGACCCCGGCCUCUAACGGCUGCAGUAGGGGGCGCGGGUGCCUGAUCAUCUCGGGUAGCGCGUGUCUUCACCAUCUGUGAGAGAAUAGAAGACAAAAGUUUAGAAUUGUGAUGUCAAAAUCUCGCAUGACAAGGAAAUCAAAUGUAGUCGAAUUUUCCUAAUAGUUACAUAGCCUCUCAUAGAUAAGUACAGGUGUCUCUGUACCGAUCAGCGAGACUCUAAUACGGCUUGUGAUUUAUGACUCCUAUGAACCUAGAGCUCUGAUACCAACUUGUCACGACCCCCAGUUCUCCCUCAGUGAACCAUCGUGAUGGCACCUAAUCUCUACGACUAGGUAAGCCUAACAAUGCGGAAAAUAAACCAAUUUGCGGAAGAAAUAAUUAAAACCGAAGUAGUGAAAUAAAACAGUAAUUUAAAGUGUUGCUUGGAAUACACAAUAUCAACUCUCGAAAGCUAAAUACAUUUCCUAAAACCCAGAAUCUCAUGAUCACAAGCCUUUGAAAGUAUACAAACGUCUAACUCCAUAAUAUCUAACAAAGACACAAAGUACGGAAGGGCUAAUACAAAAGGGACAGUACAAAGGGACUCUUCGGUCUGCGGACGCGGCAGAUAUACCUCGGAGUUUCUAUGAAUGCCUCAUAUCAAGCGUGAUAAGUCUGAGUGGGGGUACCUGGAUCCCAAUGAAUUCCUCUAAAAUCUCUCUUGAAAAUGCUCCCCAAGGCUUCUUCCCGUUUGAAAAGAGGUGAAAAUAGCUCAAAUUCGCGAAUGCAAGAAUUUAUAUGUUUCUGCCCAGCUAAUUCGCUUUUGCGGCAAUGCACUGCACCUGCGGUCCCGCUUCUGCGAAUCCAAGGUCGCAUCUGCGACUUCUCAUUAACUCAACAUUUCCACUUCUGCGACAUGCUCCCCGGACCUACGACCUCGCAGGUGUAGCCUACCUCCGCAUCUACGGAUCCAGCCCAUCUUCCUCUUGGCCGCAUCUUCGACUUCCCUUAUCACUUCUGCGGGCUCGCACCUACGGCCCCCAAGCCGCAGAUGCGGUUAUGAUAGCAGAUUUGAAACUUCAGUUGCAACCUCUCAACUCCAAACUUCCCGUUAACCACCCGAAAUCAUCCCGAGGCCCCCGGUACCUCAACCAAAAACACGAACAACUUAUAUAGCAUUAUCCAAACUUAUACCAAUCCUUAGAACACCUAAAACAACAUCAAAAUGAAAUCAACCACGGAUUCAAGCCUAAGAACUCCAAAACUCUAAAUUUCCGCUUUCGAUCAAAAACAGUCUAUCAAACCUCGUCCGAAUGACUUAAAAUUUUGCACACACGUCACAUUCAACAUUACGCAGCUACUCCAACUUCCGAAAUUACAUUCCGACCCUCAAAUCAAAAUCUCACUGUCGAACCAGAAACUUCAAAAUUCGACUUCUCGACAUUUCAAGGCUAAAUUAGCUAUGAACCUCCAAUACACAAUCCGAACACGUCCCUAAGCCCGAAAUCACCCAACGAAGCUAACGGAACCAUCAGAAUUCCAUUCCGAGGCCAUCUUCACAUUGUUCUGACUACAGUCAAAUUUUUCCAAACUUAAGCUCUCAAUUAGGGACUAAGUGUCCCAAAACUCUCCGAAACUCAAAACUGAACAUCCCGGCAAAUCAAAAUAGCAAAAAUAGAUACGGGGAAAGUAGUUAAUAGGGGAUCUGGGCGUAAAUCCUCAAGAUGACCAGCCGGGUCGUCACAUGUCCCGUUACCCGGUAAUUAACCAAUUACCCAAAAAAUUAAGAAUUUUCUCAAAUUACUUAAAAUUCUAUACAUUUUUAACAUACUUUAUCCAUCAUACUAUCAUGGUCCUAUGGUACCUUAUAAGGCGCUAGCCCAUAAAUAUCGGCUAUUAUAACUCGGACCGUAUUUUAUCCCAAAUUGACAACCUUCAACGAAACUCAUUUUCUUUAAUUCGUGUACCCUUUAUCCUCCAUGGCACUUAUUUAUCACUUGUUGUAAAUAGCAUAAGUAUGCUAACCUCGGGAUAAUCUCAUUUCCAAGAUUUUAUCAAUUUACUUAUGGUGCAUUUCUAUGUACGAAAAUGUGGGGUAUAACAGCCUUGAGGUGGGAUUUUUGGUCGUGAUAUUUGCCAAGCUCAUCACUGCUUUUAGCCCAAGUUCAGGCUUACUACAUAUUUAGUAUAUGGGGUAGGUUUUACUCAUACUACACUCUACACUUCAUGUGCAGAUCUAGGUGCUGCUAAUAGCGGUGGUGGCCAGUGAGCUGUAUCCGAUUUUGCUUGGAGAUCUCAAGGUAGCAUUACAUGUGUUAUUCAUAUGCCUUAAAGUCCCCUAUUUUAUCUUAUGUUCUUACUAUUAAGUUUUCUAGAUAAUAUUAUAUUUUAUUCAGACCUUGUAUUCCGUAUUCUAUAUAUCUCAUGCACUCAGUGAUACCAGAUUUAGGGUGGAUUCACUUGUAUUGACAUUUUUACUUCAGUUAUUUGUACCAUUCCGUUUUUUAGACAAUUUCUUUCACGACCCAGCCUAGGGCCGAGACGAAUAACGACACUAAGUGCCGAUCACCACUAAACCUGGUAUAAUCUACUAAGAAGGAAUAUAAACUGAUAAACCGAACAAGCAUAAGCAUAGCUGAUAAGAACAAUACAAUCUAAAAAGCCGACAAUGCUAAUAGAAGCAAACAUAUAAAAACAAACUAACUGCACAGGUGCAUCUCUACAUGCCUCUAGGAGUGCUGAAGUGAAAAAGUACUAGACGGAAUAGGGUCUUGCCAUACCCAAACUACUGACUGUACACAUGCCAAAAUCUAAGUAACUCGGGGACUAAGCGGAGUGACUCUAACAACUGGUGGAUGGUCUACUGAUAUGGCUCAAGUGCUAAUCUAUCUAUACCUGCAUGGCAUGAAACUCAAUGGACCGAAAGGGACGUGAGUACGAUAUGUACUAAGUAUGUAGGGUGGAAAGCAUACUAAAGUAUGACUGUAAGUUGGAAAUUUGAAUAUAAGCUAAAAGCUAAACAAAAUCUGAACUAGGAACUAAUCUGGAACUAAACCAAAGUUUAAGCAGAAACUAUGUUGAAAUUGAACUACUAUCUGAAUUGGUACAUGUCUGCGUUAUGAGCUAUAUCCCUCCGAUCAUGUAACUAUACAUCUAAACUAGCCUCAUUUAUAGUCAUGCAAUACAAACUGUAUCUAUUUACGCAUAUAUAACAUGCCUUACUAAUGUUAUGAGUUAUAUCCCCUAGUAGGUAAAUAUAUAAUCAAUAGGUCUGGCUGGUGUUAUGGGUUAUCUCCCCCCAACAUACAGUCAAUAGGACUCCAUGGAGUUAUGGGCUAUAUCACCCUUGCGUAAUCAAUGUAAGCAUGUAUGAGGCAAAACAUAUGUGGCAACAUCAUAUGGACUCAAGAUAUCACGAAGGAAACCAUAAAAAGAAUCACAAACGUAAUCUGACGCUCGUCGUCCAUAAGUUGGAUGGAGGAGCAUAUCCCCAUUUUAAGGAGAAACUGAGUAUUUACAUGAGAUACUAAGGCUAAUUAACUCAUUAGGAUCCCUCUAGAAUCUAAUUAAAAAAAUUCCAACUCUUUGAAUUUCCAAAAUUUUGGUAGAGUUUCCCCUAAAACUGGAUGAUAAAAAAACAGCAAGCACCAUAAUAUACACGAGAAUGGAUACCUAUCCAAGUUGAUAGCAUCAAUCUAAAGGGGAUUCACUUCUCCACAAUAGUGUAAAAUGAUCGACAAAACAGAAUUAUGAACGUAAUGUCAGCUUAUAAUGACUAACUUGUGACAUGAAAGUCUAAAUACGAUUUAGAAAUAAUCUAAGAAUAAAUACAUGAUAAUUAAGUUUAUAUAAUCUUAAAUGAAGCUAUUAGUAUCAUAUGGGGGCUAGGUAUACGUGAAAACAUCAAAGUAACGAAAUAAACAGAAGUCCAGAAGGCAUAGGCCAAAUGGGCGAUUCGCUGUUUUUUGUUUUUGUGGUGUUUUGAGGUUCCAACCUAAACUAGUUUCUUACAUAAUUCAAAUAUGGAAUUGAAUAUUAUACAACACAUGCUUAAAUUUCCCUUAAACAACUCUUAAAAGAUCAAGAAGAAAGGCUAGAACAUAGUUAAAUCAAAUCAUGCCAAAAACGAAGUGAAAACCCUACAUACCUCUUGUGUUCUUGCUUCCAAACCUUAUCCCCCUUUAUCCACACCCUUCCUUAUGCUUGUAUGUGUCACGACUUAAACUGGAGGGUCAUGACUAGCACCCGGGCCAUACCUGCCGAGUACCAACGUACAUUUUAUCUAACCUUUCUUAUUAUUUAUAAGGGCCGACGAUAUCAACAUGAAUAGUAGACAUGAAUCAUGAGCAACCAACAAUGAUAUAUAAUGACAUGAACAUACAUAACAUGGGUCGACAAGGAUGUCAUGAAGAUAUAUAUAAGGUACGAGCUUCCAUGCUGCUAUGACAGACUAUACAACAAAAAUCAGCCGACAAGGCAGUCCAAACUAUACAUGAGUCAACACCUGUCUAUGAGCCUCUAAAGGAAAAUAAAUGCUAUAACAUUGCUGGAAUAGGGCCCCGACAUACCCAUAAUGUCUAUAACAAAAGUUCAUACCAAGACUAUGGCAAGUCUGGAUUAGGGAUCUCGCUAAUAACCGCUGAAUUGGGCAGCCUACUGUGGUGGGGGAGCUUUGCCUACCUGUCUAUCAGGACCUGCAGCACGAUAUGUAGUAUCCACAAAUAAAAGGGAUGCCAGUACGAAUAAAGUACUGAGUAUUUAAGGCAGGAAGGCGUAAAUAAGAACAGUAAUGUAAAUAGGGAUAGAAAAUAUACAGCCUGUAACAUAUGAGUACCUCUGAGGGCUAUUGACAUGCAUGAUACAUAUAUAUAUACAUAAACUUUUUAAAAUGUAUGCCUCUGUAGGCAUCAUCAUCGUAUCGUACCCGGCCAUAAUUGGCUUAGUAAAAACAUACCCGGCCAUUAUAAGGCUCGGUAAAAUCGUACCCGGUCAUGUGGAGCUCGAUAAAACCUAAUUGAUCAGUGGUUGCAUAAUAGGUAUCGUACCUAUCCGACUAUAUCGUGGCUCAGUAGAGUAAAAUAGGUACAUAUAUAGUGCAUACUAGACUCAUUGGAAUCACAUUCUGAACCUUUCGGAGUGAUGUAAGGUCAGUAACCUUCGUACACGUUAUUAGGACUAACUCUUCAUCAUGGAUCUUAUAAGAAUCAAGAAGUACCAACAACAUUGAUAACAUAAGAAUAAGAGAAGCAACAUCAACAUCAAUCGUUCCAUAAGAAGGGAAACAAUGUAAGUACUGCUAGUUUCUAAGAGUGAAGUAUCUUUAAAAGCUCGUUCAUUACAUUUUGUACAAUCGGAGUCAUUCAAAAGAAGAAGGAAAGGGAUAGCCUCACAUACCUUGUAUAUAUUACCCAACCUCAAGCUAUGCAAAUGUCACGACUCCCUAAUCUACAACAAGAGAAAUGACAAUGUCGUUAUCAUUUAAGCAUCGUAACUAUUACAUAUCGACCGCAACCUAUUUUACGAUGAACCAUACAAUACCUCCCCUAAUUAUAUGACUUCCCACGAGUUAAAACAAUCACGAAACAGCCCAAAAAACAUCAAUAAUAAUCAUAUUAAGCCUCCCAACAUAGUCCACCAACCAACAACAUACUAACAAGUCUUUCGAUAGAUAACUCACAAGUUUUAGCUUCAACGACUUAGCCUCAACAUGGAUAAUCUUAAAUACAUGUAGAGUAAGAGGUUACUUACCUUUAAAUGGAUAGAUAAAAUCCAAUUUGACCUUAAUUCACCACGAAAUAUCCUUCCAAUGCUGCCACAAGAACAAGGAAGCGAAACUAGGGUUUUCCGGCACUAGAAUCACUUUGGAAAACUUGAAAUCACCUAGGGUUGAUAUUAAAAACUUGAGGGAGUAUUUUACAGAACAUAAACCACUUAAAAAAACCUCCCAAGUGAGCUGGAACCACACAAAAAUCAGCAACAAGAAGAACAAGAAACUUACUAGCACCACGGGAUUUCGGACACUUGAUUUGUGUUGUUUGCCCUUUGUUUGGGUCUUGGAUCAUGAGAGAACCUUGAGAGAGUGUUUUUAGGUGUCUAGGGUCUGAUGAUAAUGAAAAGUAAAGAGUUAAAAGGGGGUUAAGGCAUCUCAUAUAUAUCAAUAUAUCUCAACCGCCUAUAUGGGCCCCAUAGAGAGCUACUUGUGAAGUCUCGCAAAAACGCGAAUAUCUCUCUACUCCGACAUCGUAUCGACGAAUGGUUUAAUGAGUUGAAAACUAGAAUCAUAGAUAUUCAACUUGGUGGGUAUAUCACCCCAUCAUUGCAAGAAAAUUUAGUAACAUUUGACCUAAAGUAUAAGUAAAAUUAUGUACGUAAGUUGCGACAACUUCUGUCGACUUUUGUUUCAUAACUCGUUUGACUUCAAAACAUAUGAUACGGAUAUUAUAUGAUUCAAAUACCUUAAAAACGACCUCUUGAGAAUAUUAAGAACCUCUAGUUUUACCCAAAAAUAUGGGUUACAACAUCCUUGAUUUGUUUAACUUCUAAUACUUGUUAACCACUCUUAUACACUCUUGUAUCAUUUAAGGCCAAUAUGAUUAACUUCUUAUCAUCUCAAAGAUAAUCGCUUUUCGUAUUUAUGUCGACUAACUUACGGUGUGAUCUAACAUACAUGAAUAUGGGUUGUAACAGUAUAGAUAUGAUAAAGAGAUUACAAGAUUUCUUAGCCAUGAAGCUCUUUCCAAAACUUGAGCUAUAAGGAGAAAGGCGGACUUCAAAGUCUUAUCUAUGUCAUAAGGAUCGUGUUUAUGUGUUCACUUCUUGAUUUUGAGUUGCGGAUGAUGGACUUGCUUCAAAACCCUAAGGAACAUCUUGGAGAGCUAUGGAAGCUCUACUUGGGCGUGAAUUUUUUGCAAAUAGAGGAAAAAGAAGGCUAAGUCUUCUAUUUAUAGUAAGGUUGAAAAGUCAACCACAUGUGCUUCACCGGCCCUUCUUCCGAUGCCCAUAUCUCUUUAUCCAGACGUCGUAUAAAUGAGCGGUCGAGAGAGUUGGAAACUAACUUACAUGACCUUAAAUUUGGUAUAUAAUAUGUCCCCGAAAUAACUCAUAUAACACACAAAAUUAAUUGCUCAAAAAACUUUGUUACAAGGCAAAUCCUUAAUCGAUUCUUCCGCAACUUAAAUCUGAUUUUUUCCAAACUUUAUAUUCUAUAUUCAAACAUCAUAUAUAGUAAUAUUAUAACUUUAAAAUCAUUUAAAUCAUGCUUAAAAAUUCAUUUACACAAUAUACGACAUCACAUAUGUAUGGGGUGUGACAAUCUCCCAAUCUUAAGAACAUUCGUCCUUGAAUAUUGACUGAGGUAUACAAAAGCAUUAAGCAAUGAUCCAUUACAUACAUGGAGUAGUGAAGAGGUGUGGAUAUAUGGCUCUCAUAUCCUUCUUAGCUUCCCAAGUCAUCUCUUCCACAUUAUUGCUUCGUCCUCAACCGACGAACCUGCUGAUCUAAAAUGGCAACUAGUACCUCCUCAUAAGUUAAUUGCUUGGUGAUCUGUACAUCAUCAACUAGUACUACUCUAGAAGGAUCUCCAAUACACGUCCGAAGCAUGGAGACAUAAAACACUAGAUGUACCUCUUGAAGGUCUGCUGGAAGGUCCAACUCGUAUGUUACACGACCAGCUCGUGUGAUGAUCAGGUAUGGACAUAUAUACCUAGGGCUAAGCUUUCCCUUUUUUCAGAACCUUAUAACACCUUUCAUAGGUGACACCUUCAGGAACACCUAAUCAUCAACUUGGACUUCUAGAUCUCAGUAUCGAUUGUCUGCAUAUGAAUUCUGUCAACUUUGGGUUGCUAGCAAUCUCUCCCUAAUCAGCUUAACCUUAUCCACUUCUUGUUGGAUCAUAUAUGGGCCUAUAAGUUGAUACUCACAAACUUCAAACCAUCCUAUGGGUGAUUUGCACUUACGCCCAUACAAAGCUUCAUAAGGUGUCAUUUUUAUGAUGGAAUGAUAACUAUUGUGGUAUGCAAACUCUAUCAACGGUAAGUGUUCAUCCCAGCUACCUUUGAAAUCUAACAUACAUGCCCUUAACAUGACCUCGAGCAUCCAUAUGAUUCGCUUGACCUGUCCAUCUAUCUAGGGAUGAAAAGUUGUACUCAAAUUCAAUUGCUAGAAGUUAGCUGUAAACUGUGCGCCUCUACCUGAAAUGAUAGAUAUUGGAACGCUUUGGAGAUGUACAAUCUCCCUGAUAUAAAAUCAGGCUUAAUCUUCUAUUGUAUAGGUAGUGCUAACAAGCAAGAAAUAAGUUGAUUUAGUAAGCCUGAUGACUAUAACCCAAAUAGAAUCAUACCUGCUCCUCGUACGUGGCAGUCAUGUAAUAAAGUCCAUAUUUACUACUUCUCACUUCCAUGUUGGGAUCUUUAUCUCUUGUAACAAAUCGCUAGGCUUCUGGUGCUCAAACUUAGCAUGCUGGCAGCUAGGACACUAGGCCACAAACUCUACUAUGUCACAUUUCAUUCCACCCCACCAAUAAAUCUGCUUAAGAUCAUGGUACAUCUUAGUAGAGCCUGGAUGAAUUGUGUACCUGGAAUGAUGUUCCUCUACCAUAAUUUUCAUGCGUAACCCUGCAGCGUCUGGAACAAAGAGCCUAUCUUUAUAUCUGAGGACUCUUUUACUAGUAACUAUGUAAGGAGACUUUUUAUUUUUCCUGGCUACCAUACUGUACUUAAUUAGAACUGGAUCUUCAUAUUACCUCUAUUUCACUUCGGUCACUAAACAAGUGGUAGUCGUAUUCUGAACUAUAACUUUUGCAUCCUCUAAAUCUAUCAAUUUAAUACCCAAACUGGCUAACUGAUGGAGUUUAUGAGCUAACUCCCUUUUUUUAGGCUGAAAGCAAGCUAAACUCCCCAUGGACUUAUGACUGAGAGCAUCAACUACAACACUAACUUUACCUGGAUGAUAAAGAAUGUCAACGUCGCAGUCCUUUAGAAGCUCUAACCACUUUCUUUGCUGCAAGUUCAACUCCUUCUAUUUAAUUAUGUACUGGAGGCUCUUAUGAUAUGUAUAGAUAUCAACAUUAAUGCCAUAGAGAGAGUGCCUUCAAAUCUUCAGUGCUUGAAUAAUCGCUGCUAGCUCCAAGUUAUGUGUAGGAUAAUUCUGUUGUGCUUCUUCAAUUGUCUAGAAGCAUAAGGAAUUACCUUUUUGUGAUGUAUCAGCACAUAACCUAGGCCAAUUCGAGAAGCGUCACAAUAAAUAACAUAACCCUCAGAUCCCUCUAGAAGUGUAAGAACCGGAGUUGUAAUCAACCUGUUCUUCAACUCCUGCAAACUCUUCUCACAUUCAUCUAACCACUGAAAUUUGGAUGCUUUCUGUGUUAAUCUAGUCAAUGGCGCUGCAAGGGAAGAAAAGCCUUCUACGAACCUCUUGUAAUACCCUGCUAAACCCAAAAAGCUACGUACUUCGAUUGGCGUUAUAGGUCUAGGCCAAUUCUUCAUUGUCUCUAUCUUCUGACCAUCUACUUUGAUGCCCUCUGAUGAUAUAUAUGUCCAAGAAAUGCUACCGAAUUCAACUAGAAUUUGCACUUCAAGAAUUUGGCAUACAAUUUCUUGUCUCGGAGGAUACCCAACAUUAUGCGCAGAUGCUUCAGACUUGGAAUAAACCAGAAUAUCAUCAAUAAACACUAUCACUAAUAGGUCCAGAUAAGGCCUAAACAUGUUGUUCAUAAGAUCCAUAAAUACCGCUAGGACAUUAGUCAACCCAAACGACAUUACUAGAAACUCGUAAUAGCCAUAUUGGGUUCUGAAUGAUGUCUUAGGUAUCUCACAUUCUCUGACUCUAACCUAAUGGUAGCCUGAUCUCAAGUCUAUCUUCGAGAAGAACUUAGCACCCUGAAGGUAGUUGAACAAGUCAUCAAUUCUGGGAAGAGGACAUUUGUUCUUGAUCAUGACCUUGUUUAGUUGUUUGUAAUCUAUGCACAUACGUAGGGAGCCAUCUUUUUUUCGCAAAUAAUAUUGAUGCUCACCAAGGAGAAGUAUUGGGUCUAAUAAAACCCAUAUCAAACAAAUCUUUCAACUGCUCCUUAAGUUCCUUUAAUUCUGUUGGUGUCAUCCUGUAAGGAGGAAUAGAUAUUGGUUGCUUACCCGACACUAUAUCGAUGGGAAAGUCAAUUUCCCACUAUGGAUAAAGACCUGGAAGAUUAUACGGAAAUACGUUAGGGAACUCAUUCACUAGUGGAACUGAUUCAAGAGUCAGUAUUCCCUUCUCUAUGUCUCAAACAUGAACCCAUGAUAUAAGCAUCCCUUAGCGAUCAUCCCUCUUGCCUUAAGGUACAAAAUAAAUCUACCUUUUAGUGAUGCAGAAACACCAUUCUAUAAAUGACCCUUCUAGGAAAUCUAAACGAGACCGUCUUCGCUCUACAGUCAACAUUAGCAUAGCAAGAAGACAACCAAUCCAUACCAAGUAUAACAUCAAAGUCAACUAUUUCUAACUUAAUAAAGUCAGCUAUAGUACUAGGGUCACCAAUCACAACCGUGAAACCUCUAAAAACUAGCCUAGCUACUAUUGAAUCACCAACUGGGGUGGCUACCUCAAAAGGUUUAAUGGCAUCUAGUUCUAUCCUAAACUUAGUAGCAAGAAAGGGAGUGACAUAUGAUAGUGUAGAACCAGGAUCUAACAAUACAUACACAUUCUGAGAAUUCACUUAUAAAGUACCUAUAACCACUCUAGUGAAGCCUCCUAGUCCUGACGACCAAACAGAGAGUAGGUGCGGUUCUGGGGACCGCCUGUAGUAAGAGUUCCGCCUCGGCCUCUACCAUGGUCUGCUAGUGUCUGAGGAACUUGCCCUUGCAAGCGUGCUGGUGCUGAAGAAGCUGCAACUAAUCUUGCCGACUGAGAUGCACCAUUACCACCCCUAAACGAGCAUUCUCUCAUAAAAUGACCUGACUCACCACAAACAUAACAUGCAUCUUAACCCAAUUGAAAUCGGUCCAAAUAGUGUCUACCACAAUCAAAACACCUAGGGUAAAGUGAACCACCCUGACUAGAAACACCUCGAUACUAGGACCUUGAAGCACGUGAUUCCUGACUAGCUCUAGACUAUGAGGGUCAAUUAGAUCUCGGCCCCUAAAAUCGUGAAGGAGUACUAGCUGCUGUCGACGUAACAACUAUAUUGUCUAGAAGCACCAGAUGUCUCACCAAAAGAAUACUUGCAAUGUCCACACUCGACUGAAUACGUCCAAUGUCCACACUCAAAUGCAUAGAUACAGUCAUAUAUUCACUUACUAAGUGAGGACCAAGUCUUGCUACACAUGUGUACCAUGUCCUCCAUGUCUGAUACAACUGCAAGAGCAAACCUCUCCAAAGAAUUAAAGCAAAGGUUCAAUUCUGCAAUACUCAUACCCCCUGUCUCAAUGUCAGGAACUUAUCCAAUCAUGCUCUACGUGUCUCUAUAGGUAAGUAAUGGUGGAGAAAUGCCUCUAAUAACUCCCUACAGGUAAUUGGAGCAGUAUUUGCUACCCUAGACAUCUCCCAGUGGUAUAUCAACCUGCUGCUAGAUCUUGUAAUCUAUAUGCCACCAAUUCAACUGACUUUCUAUAUAUGGCAUGCAUAACUCUAAGGGCUCUAACUACUCUAUCUAGAAAAUUUUGGGGAUCCUCUGUUGUACUAGAUCUCGUGAAAAUUGGAGGCUCUAAUAUGAGGAAAUCAAGAAUCAUAGAACUUGUAUCAUCACCCUGAGGACCAUUAUUCUACCAUCUGGACUGGGUAGCUACAAUUCUAGUUAACAAUCUAACUACAUCCCUCAUGUCGAAGUAGACGGAGGUGUGGUAGCUGGAGCACCACCUAACUUCUCCCUAAACAAACAUAGUCCAUGAAGCUCUGGAUGGAACCUCAUGUCUGGAUCCUUAUGCUCAUCUAACUUAGGUGGUACUCUGCUAGAACCCUGGCCAGCAAUGGUUUUGCCCUUCAAGGCAGUUGUGAAUCUCUUUGGAGGAAUCCCUACAUAUAAAAUAUUUCAUUAGAAGGCUGAAUUCUUAUAACAUAGCUCAAUCGCACAAUCUAGAGAAGAAGGAAGGACAACCAUUCUAUAAUGCCCUGCAGCCUCAUGUUCAUAAGUAUGGUGUGCAACUUACUCUUGAAUAAGACUCCACUAUACAUGGCUUGUAGACACCCAAGGACUGAACUGCUCUAAUACCAUGUUUGUCACGACCUACCUAGGGCCGCGAAGGAUAACCGACACUAAGUACUGAUCAUCACUAAACCUGCUAAUAAUCUACUAAUCAUGAAUUUAACUGAUAAACUAAACAAGCAUAAACAUAAUUGAUAAGAACAGUACAAUUUUGUAGCCAACAAGGCUAACACAAGCUGACAUAUAAAAACAUACUAACUGCACAGGUGCAUAUCUACAUGCCUCUAGGAGUGCUGAACUAAAUAAGUAUUGGACGGAACAAGGUCACUCCAUACCCAAACUAGUUGAAUGUACACAUACAAAGAGAUAACUUACUCCCGGAGUAAGCAGCGUGACUCCAAUAGCUGGUGGAUGUCCUACUGAUGUGGCUCAAGCGUUGAUUUAUCUGUACCUGCACGACAAGAAACGAAACACCUCAGAAGGGACGUGAGUACAAUAUGUACAAAGUAUGUAGGAUGGAAAGCAUACUAAAGUAUGAAUAUACGCUGGAAAUCUAAAUAUAAGCUGGAAGCUAAACAAGAGUCUGAACUAGCAACUAAUCUAGAACUAAACUGAAGUUUAAGUUGAAACUAUGCUGAAAUUGAACUACUAUCUGAACUGGUACCUGACUGGAGUUAUCCUCUAUAUCCCCCAAUAAGGUAACUGUACAUCUGAACUGGCCUCCGAUAUCGUCGUGCAAUACAAACUGUAACUAUAUACACGUAUAUAACAUGCCUGACUGGCGUUAUGCGCUAUAUCCCCUAGCAGAUAAAUAGGACUGGUUGGUGUUAUGGGC